ACCCUACAAAUACCACACAUAAAUCCAGCAUUCUUUAUAUUCCCGAUGUUUCUUCAGGCUUUGGUGGGGACCUUACUUGUUUGUGCCCCAAAAAAGCCAAUUAUCUUAAAUGUGCUUUACUACAAGUCACUCUCCUCCUCCCUUCACUUAUUUGUCAAAUAUAUAAAUACUAUAUUUGCAAUCUAAAGCUUAUUGGACUAGGUGGGCAAAAUGAUGGAGAUCUAACCUAUUUCUUUUUUUUUUUUUUUCUCAUUACACUUUUGUUUUAGUGGGUCUCAAAAUUCUGUGACAGAUUUUUGGCCAAGUUGUUUCCAUUAAAAAUACUGAUUUUAAAAACUAGUAACUUAAAACUGCCACACACA